rnacentral:rRNA from 1 species
GAGUUGCGAACGGGUGAGUAACGCGUAGGUAACCUGCCUCUUAGCGGGGGAUAACUAUUGGAAACGAUAGCUAAUACCGCAUAAAAGUCGACAUUGCAUGAUGUUGACUUGAAAGGUGCAACUGCNUCNCUAAGAGAUGGACCUGCGUUGUAUUANCUAGUUGGUGAGGUAACGGCUCACCAAGGCGACNAUACAUANCCGACCUGAGAGGGUGAUCGGCCACACUGGGACUGAGACACGGCCCANACUCCUACGGGAGGCAGCAGUAGGGAAUCUUCNGCAAUGGACGGAAGUCUGACCGAGCAACGCCNCGUGAGUGAANAAGGUUUUCGGAUCGUAAAGCUCUGUUGUAAGAGAANAACGAGUGUGAGAGUGGAAAGUUCACACUGU